GAUGAACGCUGGCGGCGUGCUUAACACAUGCAAGUCGAACGAACCUUCGGGUUAGUGGCGGACGGGUGAGUAACGCGUGAGAAUCUGCCCUCAGGAGGGGGAUAACAGCUGGAAACGGCUGCUAAUACCCCAUAUGCCGCGAGGUGAAAUGAAUUUCGCCUGAGGAUGAGCUCGCGUCUGAUUAGCUAGUUGGUGUAGGUAAUGGCUCACCAAGGCAUCGAUCAGUAGCUGGUCUGAGAGGAUGAUCAGCCACACUGGGACUGAGACACGGCCCAGGCUCCUACGGGAGGCAGCAGUGGGGAAUUUUCCGCAAUGGGCGAAAGCCUGACGGAGCAACGCCGCGUGAGGGAUGAAGGCCUCUGGGCUGUAAACCUCUUUUAUCAAGGAAGAAGAUCUGACGGUACUUGAUGAAUAAGCCACGGCUAAUUCCGUGCCAGCAGCCGCGGUAAUACGGGAGUGGCAAGCGUUAUCCGGAAUUAUUGGGCGUAAAGCGUCCGCAGGCGGCCCUUCAAGUCUGCUGUUAAAAAGUGGAGCUUAACUCCAUCAUGGCAGUGGAAACUGUUGGGCUUGAGUGUGGUAGGGGCAGAGGGAAUUCCCGGUGUAGCGGUGAAAUGCGUAGAUAUCGGGAAGAACACCAGUGGCGAAGGCGCUCUGCUGGGCCAUCACUGACGCUCAUGGACGAAAGCCAGGGGAGCGAAAGGGAUUAGAUACCCCUGUAGUCCUGGCCGUAAACGAUGAACACUAGGUGUCGGGGGAAUCGACCCCCUCGGUGUCGUAGCCAACGCGUUAAGUGUUCCGCCUGGGGAGUACGCACGCAAGUGUGA
rnacentral:rRNA from 1 species